ensembl:lncRNA
GGCAAACCGCAGGACCUUUUUUGCCAGCUGCUAGUGGGCUCAUUCAUACUCCUCCUUCUGAAGGAUAACAGCAGCUUGAUAUUUACUUCUGAGGUUCCUCUUGUGAAUUACAAGACUGAAUGCCAAAGAAUCAGAUAUUUACAUUCCCCUAUUUCUCUGUCCACAACCACUGAAUACCACAGCAAUGACAGCGUUCCAGUCUGAGACAUUUGUUGCUGUCCCAGUGCAAUAUAAUGCAAAGCUGAAAGUGGAUGGAAGCCAAACCUCAGGACACACAGAGACGUCACUACUGUACACUAAGCCUUAGAGACAUGCACAUCAAAUGGUGGACAAGGACAAUAUUUCAGGGCUAUUCCUAGGUGACUCUUACCAUAAAGGCAUCAUUCAGCCCUAGACCACCAGGACAACAACCUGAGUAUAUCUCAGGAUCUGAACUGAACAAACAUACAGUAUCUGACUAGCAUCAGGUAAAAUACCCCUGGAGGGAAGCUCUGUCUCCACAGCAUACACAGUGCUAAUUCUUCAUAAUGAGCACUCAGCACCAAUAUGUGCUCAUUACUCAGAGACAUCAGCUCCAUUCCCACCACUACAAACAACUGUAAUUCACAGGCAUAAUAAGGCUGAUAGGAGAGGAGUUGGGAUGUGUCCAGAAGAGACAGAUAUGGGUCAAAGCAGUUAGCCAUUCAUGGAGGGAAAUCAUGGAAGGGGGUGGAGGCUGAAGAGUCCCAGAAGAGUCCUUUGAUUGACAGUGCUUCGGCUUCCAGCUUAUUGCCAUGUGGGCAGCUGAUUCACGGUUCACAUGCCUUACAGAAUUGAGCUGGCACAGGCUCCCAUGCCCACCUGCUGUUUCUAGAACACAAAAGCAUGGUGCUUUCAGUAAAACCACUUGUUCUAAUAAAGUGCAGAUUAUGGUCGUACAUGCUGAACAGUUUGAUGACAAACCGGGUAAGGUAAUGAGAGGCAAUGUGAGAUAUACCCGAGUCUUCCCAUUGACUCGAGUCAUGGGAGCUUUAUUUGUUUUUUAUGCUGUGUAUUUUUUGUACAUUUAAACACAUAGAUAUAAUAUAAGCCUGUAAUACUUUGAUAUUGUUGAAUGUUGAAUUCUGAUUGGUCAGAAGGUUUCAUUUUCUAUAACAGCACGGCUCUGACACUCAUUUCUUUUUUGCUUUAUUACCUUAAUGACAAAGAGAAAAAAGGAGGUUGUUGAGCCAGUGAUUGUUUAUAGCUGCUAUAACAAGUCAUAACAGGAACUAACAUGUGUCAAAAACAU